rnacentral:tRNA from 2 species
GGAGAUGUACCCAAGUGGUGAAGGGGCUCCCCUGCUAAGGGAGUAGGGUGCGAAAGUGCCGCGAGGGUUCAAAUCCCUCCAUCUCCGCCA